AAGCCAGUGGUGAACUCCACAUACGCAUCCUUUGCUGAGGAUACGGUUAACGGAGCGAAAGCGACGUUCAACCUCAAAAGAAGCAGAGGGGGCUUAGUGGUGGGGUGACUGCGUACCUUUUGUAUAAUGGGUCAGCGACUUAUAUUCUGUAGCAAGGUUAACCGAAUAGGGGAGCCGGAGGGAAACCGAGUCUUAACCGGGCGUUAAGUUGCAGGGUAUAGACCCGAAACCCGGUGAUCUAGCCAUGGGCAGGUUGAAGGUUGGGUAACACUAACUGGAGGACCGAACCGACUAAUGUUGAAAAAUUAGCGGAUGACCUGUGGCUGGGGGUGAAAGGCCAAUCAAACCGGGAGAUAGCUGGUUCUCCCCGAAAGCUAUUUAGGUAGCGCCUCGUGAAUUCAUCUCCGGGGGUAGAGCACUGUUUCGGCUAGGGGGUCAUCCCGACUUACCAACCCGAUGCAAACUGCGAAUACCGGAGAAUGUUAUCACGGGAGACACACGGCGGGUGCUAACGUCCGUCGUGAAGAGGGAAACAACCCAGACCGCCAGCUAAGGUCCCAAAGUCAUGGUUAAGUGGGAAACGAUGUGGGAAGGCCCAGACAGCCAGGAUGUUGGCUUAGAAGCAGCCAUCAUUUAAAGAAAGCGUAAUAGCUCACUGGUCGAGUCGGCCUGCGCGGAAGAUGUAACGGGGCUAAACCAUGCACCGAAGCUGCGGCAGCGAACGUAUCACCCAAGACAACUUUACGGAGUUGACGAUUGAUGGAGCGAAGCGACGUCAAAGCGUUCAUUAAAGUCGAGUUGGCUUAGGGAUACGUUCGUUGGGUAGGGGAGCGUUCUGUAAGCCUGUGAAGGUGGCCUGUGAGGGUUGCUGGAGGUAUCAGAAGUGCGAAUGCUGACAUAAGUAACGAUAAAGCGGGUGAAAAGCCCGCUCGCCGGAAGACCAAGGGUUCCUGUCCAACGUUAAUCGGGGCAGGGUGAGUCGACCCCUAAGGCGAGGCCGAAAGGCGUAGUCGAUGGGAAACGGGUUAAUAUUCCCGUACUUGGUGUUACUGCGAAGGGGGGACGGAGAAGGCUAUGUUGGCCGGGCGACGGUUGUCCCGGUUUAAGCGUGUAGGUGUGUGUUCCAGGUAAAUCCGGUUCACUUUAACACUGAGGCGUGAUGACGAGGCACUACGGUGCUGAAGCAACAAAUGCCCUGCUUCCAGGAAAAGUCUCUAAGCAUCAGGUAACAUCAAAUCGUACCCCAAACCGACACAGGUGGUCAGGUAGAGAAUACCAAGGCGCUUGAGAGAACUCGGGUGAAGGAACUAGGCAAAAUGGUGCCGUAACUUCGGGAGAAGGCACGCUGACACGUAGGUGAAGUGAUUUACUCACGGAGCUGAAGUCAGUCGAAGAUACCAGCUGGCUGCAACUGUUUAUUAAAAACACAGCACUGUGCAAACACGAAAGUGGACGUAUACGGUGUGACGCCUGCCCGGUGCCGGAAGGUUAAUUGAUGGGGUCAGCGCAAGCGAAGCUCCUGAUCGAAGCCCCGGUAAACGGCGGCCGUAACUAUAACGGUCCUAAGGUAGCGAAAUUCCUUGUCGGGUAAGUUCCGACCUGCACGAAUGGCGUAAUGAUGGCCAGGCUGUCUCCACCCGAGACUCAGUGAAAUUGAACUCGCUGUGAAGAUGCAGUGUACCCGCGGCAAGACGGAAAGACCCCGUGAACCUUUACUAUAGCUUGACACUGAACAUUGAGCCUUGAUGUGUAGGAUAGGUGGGAGGCUUUGAAGCGUGGACGCCAGUCUGC
rnacentral:rRNA from 1 species